rnacentral:rRNA from 1 species
GACGAACGCUGGCGGCGUGCUUAACACAUGCAAGUCGAGCGGUAAGGCCUCUUCGGGGGUACACGAGCGGCGAACGGGUGAGUAACACGUGAGUAAUCUGCCCUUCACUCUGGGAUAAGCACUCGAAAGGGUGUCUAAUACCGGACACGACGCACUCUCGCAUGGGAUGUGUGUGGAAACUUUUGUGGGUGGGGGAUGUGCUCGCGGCCUAUCAGCUUGUUGGUGGGGUAAUGGCCUACCAAGGCUUUGACGGGUAGCCGGCCUGAGAGGGUGACCGGCCACACUGGGACUGAGACACGGCCCAGACUCCUACGGGAGGCAGCAGUGGGGAAUAUUGGACAAUGGGCGGAAGCCUGAUCCAGCAACGCCGCGUGAGGGAUGACGGCCUUCGGGUUGUAAACCUCUUUCAGUAUCGACGAAGCGCCCGUGUGGGUGGUGACGGUAGGUACAGAAGAAGCACCGGCCAACUACGUGCCAGCAGCCGCGGUAAUAC